GUCCAAAAAACUAUUUAUUUUGAUUGUAACGUGGAAUUUUAUCCGAAAAUAUUGUUCGUACGCGGUUAUUAGACGCACAUUUUUAAAUGAAAAUAUAUUAUCGAUAAUAAUCGUAAUUAAAAACUUUAAAGUGUCCACUGUAAAUUACCGAGCUCUAUCAUACAACCGAUUUCGAAACUUUCCUUUAAACCGUCCCAAUACAAACCUCUACGACCAUCGACCAAUAAUCUAACAGAAAAUCCCCUUACGCCAAUUCAAACGGAUCCGAUAUAAUAUUAUAUUCUCUCUCUCUC